UGUGGAGUAAACGAAAACUGAUUCUUAUGCUCCAACAAGAACAAGCUUGUCCGGGGUGCUCGCAAAAGCGGUUGGACCUGGAAUUUCCUUGCCAAGCUUUUUCAGAACUCGUUUCCUAGAAGGCACCGGGUCAAGAUCAUAUGGGCCGAUAAAGGAGUUGUUAUCGGAAGAGAAUCCUCCCGUCUACAAGGAUACUGCUGCGGAAGAGUACCUGACGCUCCGAUACCAGAGAGGGACCGGUGGAGAAGACCAUCUACUGUCACAUUUCAAGUUGUAAUGCAGGAGGCCACGGAGUUCCUUUUUCUCCCACUGUUCUGGGUUAGAAAAAUCAGUUUUAGUAAAUCCCUUGGCUUUGAAAUUUGAAUGUGCUCUUCAUUAA